rnacentral:misc_RNA from 1 species
GAUGAAGAACGCAGCGAAAUGCGAUAAGUAGUGUGAAUUGCAGAAUUCAGUGAAUCAUCGAAUCUUUGAACGCACAUUGCGCCCUUUGGUAUUCCUUAGGGCAUGCCUGUUCGAGCGUCAUUAUAACCCCUCAAGCUCAGCUUGGUGUUGGGGCCUGCUGCACUGGCAGCCCUUAAAAUCAGUGGCGGCGCCAUCUGGCUCUAAGCGUAGUAAUUCUUCUCGCUAUGGAGUCCUGGUGGAUGCUUGCCAUCAACCCCCAAUUUUUCUAUGGUUGACCUCGGAUCAGGUAGGGAUACCCGCUGAACUUAAGCAUAUCAAUAAGCGGAGGA